UUUUUUGAAAGAGGGCACAAGUGAGUGAAGAGCAGAGAGGGAGAGACAGAGAGAAAGAGAGAGAAGCGGGCUCGCCAGCGGCUUGUGUUUUUUACCUGAAGCAGGACACAAGCUCAUCUGACAUGGGACUCGCACUCACCAACUAUGAGAUCAUGACCUGAGCUCAAGUCAUAUGCUUAAUGACUGAGCCACCCAGGCACCCUGUUUAUGGUUUUUAAGGAGAUUUAGAGAGAACAAAUGAAAUGAGGAGACCUAAAUGAUUCCUCUGUAAAACAGAAAUAUUUAAGAUAUCUGGGGCAUCUGAGUGGCUCAUCAGUAGAGCAUUUGACUUUGGUUCAGGUCAUGAUCUCAUGGUUCCCUGAGUUUGAGCCCCCCAUCAGGCUCUCUACUGUCAGCACAGAGCCCGCUUUGGAUCUUCUGUCCCCCUUCUUUUUGUCCCUCCCCCACUCACACACCCUCUCUCUCAAAAAUAAGCAUUAAAAAAAAGUGGGGGGUGGGGAGUGCCUGGGUGGCUCAGCUGGUUAAGUGUCCAACUCUUGGUUUCAGCUGAGGUCAUGAUCUCACACAACUUGUGGGUUCGAGCCCUGUGUCAGGCUCUGUGCUGACAGCGUGGGGCCUGCCUGGGAUUCUGUAUCCCUGUCUCUCUCUGCCCCUCCACCCUCAUGCUCACUCACUUUCUCUCAGAAAUAAACAUUAAAAAAAAAAAAAAUUAGAAAAAUUUUUUUUAAAAAUCAGCAAAAAACAAGGGAAAAUACUUGUUACUUUGAUAUAGUAAGUCACUUGACAGUUUUCAUUUCACAUAUUUAAACAAAGUCAAUGCUUUCUGAUUAAGUACAUCAGUAUAAUUUUGUUAUUAACAAUGUUUAGUAAAAUGUGAACUACCUCAACCAUGUCCAGCAUCUAAAAUAAUUAAAAAAAAAUUUUUCCGUUUCAGGUCAUUUGAGAAGACCAAAGGGAGAAGGCAAAUAGAACAUAAAUUUCAAUGAGAAAAAAGAAGAGAAAAUCAAGAGCACCCAACUCGGCUCCCCCCAUAUACAGAGUAUCUAACAAAGAAAAAGAGAGACAGAGACAACAGUGUGAGCAGGGAAGGGGCAGAGAGGGAGACACAGAAUCUGAAGCAGGCUCCAGGCUCUGAGCUCCAAGCUGUCAGCCCAGAGCCCGAUUUGGGGCUUGAACCCAAGAACUGCAACCGCAAGAUCAUGACCUGACCUGAGCUGAAGUUGGACGCUUAACUGACUGAGCCACGAGGUGCCCCGCAUUUAUAUUUUUCUUUUUUGUUUUUUUACAUUUAUUUUUGAGACAGAGAGAGACAGAGCACAAGUGGGGGAGGGGCAGAGAGAGAAGGAGACAGAAUCCGAAGCAGGCUCCAGGCUCUGAGCUGUCAGCACAGAGCCCGACGCGGGGCUCAAACUCACAAACCAUGAGAUCAUGACCUGAGCCGAAGUCGGGCACUUAUCCGACUGAGCCACCCAGGUGCGCCCCUGUACUUUUCUUAAAUCAAAUGUUUAUAAUUGAAAUAGUAGAGACUAAGUUCUUUUGUCCACUAAAAAAACAGAUGACCAGUGGAAAAAAUAGUAUGAGAACUUUAUUUACCUGUGUACGAAGACUUAAAAGACAUAUUUUGCCAGAGUUGAUCACUUGCCGUACAGAAUCUAUGCUGGUUCCAUACAGAUUCUUCUCAAAUUCACCAUGUUCAAUGAACUUUCCAGCUGCUAUGUCUGCCUCAAAUGCUUGCCGUGAAACAAAGUGGUAAUCUCUACCAGCUACUUCGUGGUCUCGCCUACUCCGAGUUGUAUCUAGGCAAACAAAAUCAGGUAAAAAUAAGGGGCAUGGAUCAGAGUAAAGAUGGGGGAUAUUUCUGCUAGUCAGGAAAAAUUUUAAUUUUGUAAUACAGAGGAAAUGUAAAAUGACGAACUGAGGAAAUGUUAAGAGCCCAUGUGUUUAACACUGACUGGUUUUAUUUCUAGACUGAGAAAUGAACAAAAAUGUGGUUUUAGUAUCUUAAUAAUAGUUACAUUUAAUUGCCGUAACACAUUUUAGGCUUACACUUUAAAUUGCUUCUUGCAUUUAAACACUACCAUUUUUUUCCUAAAGUUUAUUUCCAUAAGAUUAGGCACUGUGUAAUAUUUAUUCACUUACUUACCUAUUUAUUAUUUACUUAUACUAUUUAAUUUUAAGAUACAGCAUUUUUUAAACGUUUAUUCAUUUUUGAGAGAGACAGAGCACGAGUAGGGGAGGGGCAGAGAGGAGACACAGAAUCCAAAGCAGUCUCCAGGCUCUGAGUUGUCAGCAUAGAGCCCGAUGUAGGGCAAGAUCAUGACCUGAGCCGAAGUCAGACACUUAACCAACUGAGCCACCCAGGCGCCCCUAGGUACUAUAAAAUCUUUAAACAGAACUUCUGUGUUCAGACAUUCAGUCUACAUUUCUAUCUUCUGCAUCAGUUUAAAAAACAGAAACUGAUUCCAUAUUGAAUAGGGAAUCGUAAGAAACCCAAAUUGAAAUUCAUUUAGAAAAUAAUUAGUACCACAGGAAAAAUGGAAAUUUCUCAAUAAUGACUAUCUUGAGUUACAUAUUCUCAAAAGAUUUGAUUAAAACAAAGUUCCUUUUUUCUGGGCAAAACUAUUUUUGAUGAACUGGAUGAAAAAUUUCCCUCCAGUUAGGUUCUAAGAUAGAAAAUUGAAAAGCACAGGAAAAUGAGAAUGCAUCCAAACUUACGAGGAACCGCAGAUGCAAAGCGGUCUUUUUCCUUGUUCAUGAGCCUCUGACGCAAUUCAUUCUGGCCACAGUUCUGUGGACCAAUCAGAAUGAUAGGUCUUUUCCUAUUUGCUGGCUGAUGAUAAAGUGACAUUUCCUCAUAAGUUAAGAUCUCUUCAUUGUCAUAAUCUUUGAAAAAGAAAAAGUUAAGCCCUUCAGAUAGAAUUAUUGCCAUGUAAUAAAAAUGUACUCAAAUUUUCCAAAAAAUUGGAGAGAAGACACUUUAUUAUCAUUAAAAAUGCUUAGCUUUUUGGAUGAAGAUAGUAAUAACUGGGUAGGAUUAUAUGAAUAUUUUCCAAUGUGAAUAUAUACUUCCCAGGAUACUACGAAAAUAAAUCAGACAAUAUACUGA